GGUAGUCAGCCUUGGUGAAGAACUGGGCGCAGCCCACGAUGUUGGUGGCCGUGAGUGUUGUGGCUGUGUCAUCCCACAUGGCCAGCACACACAAGUCGUAGCCAGUCCCAGACACCAGGUGCUGUGCUGUGUCAGAGACAAGAUCCUGCCUGGAGAGGCCAGCACCACCCUCACCUCCAAAGGGCUUUCUCAUGACUCAGGAGGGAGAGCAUUUGCUGCUGCAGACUGAGGGAGAGGGGGUCUAAGCGGAAGAGGAGUGGAGGCAGGAGAAGGGGGCCUGCCGCUUAGGGGGGGAGGGACAGUGCAGUGUGAAGGACUGGGGGGCACUUCUGCAUCCCAGAAGAAAGGGACGAUACCUUGGUCCUAGUUGUAGUAGCCCAGGCUCAGCCAGGAAACCUAGGGGAAGAGUUUCUUUAGUAGAAGACUUUAACUGCUCCUUCCACCUUAGGGGAGGGUCUGAUGGGGAAGUACUCUCCCCACAUUGUGGCUGAUCCUCUCCUGCCUGGACCUGCUCACUCUGAACUCUAGAACCUUGUGACCUUGUUAAGCCUGGAUGCACACCCUGAACUCUAAGACCCUUUUUGAGGUAUCAUGCCUUCUGCUGAUUCCAGAGAUGAUGCCUGUGUCACUUCCAUAAACACUCCUGAAGAAAUACCCAGGCUUGAAGGUACCACUGUGUAGCUUUCUUGG